AUUGAACGCUGGCGGCAUGCCUUACACAUGCAAGUCGAACGGUAACGGGCCUUCGGGUGCCGACGAGUGGCGAACGGGUGAGUAAUACAUCGGAACGUGCCCGAUCGUGGGGGAUAACGAGGCGAAAGCUUUGCUAAUACCGCAUACGAUCUACGGAUGAAAGCAGGGGACCGCAAGGCCUUGCGCGGACGGAGCGGCCGAUGGCAGAUUAGGUAGUUGGUGGGAUAAAAGCUUACCAAGCCGACGAUCUGUAGCUGGUCUGAGAGGAUGAUCAGCCACACUGGGACUGAGACACGGCCCAGACUCCUACGGGAGGCAGCAGUGGGGAAUUUUGGACAAUGGGCGCAAGCCUGAUCCGGCCAUGCCGCGUGCAGGAUGAAGGCCUUCGGGUUGUAAACUGCUUUUGUACGGAACGAAAAGCCUUCUUUUAAUACGGGAGGGUCAUGACGGUACCGUAAGAAUAAGCACCGGCUAACUACGUG
rnacentral:rRNA from 1 species